GAGGAGGGGGGAGGAUAAUGAGAGCGCGUCCCUGCGCUGAACGUUACAGGCUGUGACUGCGUGUGAACAGAGCGUUUUUAAAAGCACACAUGAACGUUUGAGGCGCCCACGCGUCCAGGCCUCCGCUCAGAGGCCGAUCCCAGUCUGACGUUAGAGGCGCCUCCGGCUCAGUGGAGGGAGUCCACACACGUGCAGGUUUGUCUCUGGGUCACGCGUCACAGCUUCAGACGUUAAUCAGCUCGAGGAGACGAGGAACGAGCCUUAACGUCGUUCACGCUAAAACAAGCUCGUUUUCAGGGACGAUCAGUGCUGAGAGAUGAGUUUAAACCUGCGCCCGAAUGUGAAUGUAAUGAGCUGCUGAGGUUCAGGCUUCUCUUAAUGAAUCAUCAGAUGUAAACAGACCGAAGCGCCUCCGUCCAGCAGAAAAAGCCUCCACACGUUUCCUGUGGAGUCAAACCUGCAAACGAGUCAAAGCCCUGAGAAACACACCAAAACGUAGACCUCCGUGUGUUGAAGCAUCAGGAGGUUAGUUCUUUCACUGGGUCCAACGUGACGCUUGCUUCCCACAAUGCAAUGCGUGGCUGUUGGAUAAUUUACGUGUAUUUGCUGCAGACAAACAGUAGAAAGACGUCAACUACAACAUUCUCUGAGGAAACGACCGUCAGUUCUGCUUCACUCAGAAUAAACCACCAACAAGCAGCUUCUAGAUGUAUUUUCACAUGUAACAACCUGAUGAAUGUUGGUUGAUUAAACAUUUUCAUCCUGUACAUCACACAUGUGAGCUAACGUGGUCACAAACAACCACUUCUCACAGCCGCUCCAAACCAGGCCCGGCCUUUAAUGAGCGUUCUAAUUAAACCUACAGUGAAGACGGCCGUGAACCAUUGGUUCAGGUUCUGACCCAGAACUCAGCUCUGUCUGGUUCUGAUGAUUCACGGAGAGAAACAGCGAAGCAGCUUCGUGUCCUGCUGUGACUCGACCUUUAUUAUUCAUGAAUGUAAACUGUUUGUAACUGCCUGUGAUGUUGUGACGUGUAGAUUUCUGUAAAUUCUGACUGUAACCAAACACAAGCUGUUGGUCCAACAACAGACGGGUCAUCGUCAACACAAGCGCGCGGCCUCUUUCUUCCUGUCUGAGUAACGUGUUCCACUCACAUUUCAUCACAGCCCUCGUCUCAUACCUGCUGUCAGGCCGGCGAUGAAGGAGCCAUGCUCCUCAUCCUCCCGGGGCGUUGGACGGCGCCAGGCUGCGGAUGGAAGUGGGUCAACCAUCCGGGUCUCUGCACCGGUAACAGUGGAGGAUGUGAAGAACCUGCUCAAAGUCCACAUGAAGCCAGAACCUCGGAGCUGAACCAGUGUUAGAGCUCGGUUCAGACGUAGAAGCCAGAAGCACUCACGGCGUCUCAGCUGCAGGAACCCGCUGGUGUCAUCAGACGUGAUGAACCUGCUCACUCAGCAUUAUCACAGCCCAGGUUCUGACACCAGAACCCAUCUGGCUGCUACCAGACGCACACACCCUGACUGAUCCACCUACAGAGAACAGAUCUGAGAGCGAUGCAUCAUUCACCAUCUGUUGUCGUCGCCGCUUUUUCAGGCAGCAGCUGCUGCGUCUGCAGCCUCACACUUCACAGCUUCACACGCGGAGGCUCAGACUCACGCCAGAGACGCAUUCAAAGCAUUUCAAGUAUAAAGUGUGUUUUUGGGCCAAUUAAUGAAAUGUGUAUGUGAUUAAAAGCAAUAAUCUGUGAUCA